GACGAACGCUGGCGGCGUGCUUAACACAUGCAAGUCGAACGGAAAGGCCCUGCUUUUGUGGGGUGCUCGAGUGGCGAACGGGUGAGUAACACGUGAGUAACCUGCCCCUGACUUUGGGAUAACUUCAGGAAACUGGGGCUAAUACCGGAUAGGAGCUCCUGCUGCAUGGUGGGGGUUGGAAAGUUUCGGCGGUUGGGGAUGGACUCGCGGCUUAUCAGCUUGUUGGUGGGGUAGUGGCUUACCAAGGCUUUGACGGGUAGCCGGCCUGAGAAGGUGACCGGCCACCUGGGGACUGAGGUACGGCCCAGACGCCUACGGGAGGCAGCAGUGGGGAAUAUUGCACAAUGGGCGGAAGCCUGAUGCAGCAACGCCGCGUGCGGGAUAACGGCCUUCGGGUUGUAAACCGCUUUCGCCUGUGACGAAGCGUGAGUGACGGUAAUGGGUAGAGAAGCACCGGCUAACUACGUG
rnacentral:rRNA from 1 species